UCCCUGGUAGUCCAGUGGCUAAGACUCAACGCUCCCAAUGCAGGGGACCCUGGUUCGAUCCCUGGCCAUGGAA
rnacentral:tRNA from 1 species